AUUCAGCCGACGAGUUCCGAAUAGGACGAAGCGCGUGUCAAACUGGAU
rnacentral:hammerhead_ribozyme from 1 species